rnacentral:rRNA from 1 species
UACAGAGGGUGCAAGCGUUAAUCGGAAUUACUGGGCGUAAAGGGCGCGUAGGUGGACAAUUAAGUCGGAUGUGAAAUCCCCGGGCUUAACCUGGGAAUGGCAUACGAUACUGGUUAUCUGGAGUUGAGUAGAGGGAAGUGGAAUUUCCGGUGUAGCGGUGAAAUGCGUAGAUAUCGGAAGGAACACCAGUGGCGAAGGCGGCUUCCUGGACUUAAACUGACACUGAGGCGCGAAAGCGUGGGGAGCAAACAGGG